rnacentral:rRNA from 1 species
GUCCACGCCGUAAACGAUGAGUGCUAGGUGUCGCGGGCUUUGACCCCUGCGGUGCCGCAGCUAACGCAUUAAGCACUCCGCCUGGGGAGUACGGCCGCAAGGCUAAAACUCAAAGGAAUUGACGGGGGCCCGCACAAGCGGUGGAGCAUGUGGUUCAAUUCGACGCAACGCGCAGAACCUUACCUGGGCUAGAAAAUGCAGGAACCUGGUUGAAAGAUCGGGGUGCUCUUCGGAGAACCUGUAGUUAGGUGCUGCAUGGCUGUCGU